UAUCUCUGUAGAGUCUGCAUAUCAAUAAGCGGAGGAAAAGAAACUAACAAGGAUUCCCUUAGUAACGGCGAGUGAAGCGGGAAGAGCUCAAAUUUGAAAUCUUCAAGGUUCUACCUUGACGAAUUGUAGUUUAAAGAAGUGUUUUCUGUUAGAUGAGUAGCAAAAGUUCUUUGGAAUAGGACAUCAUAGAGGGUGAGAAUCCCGUAUUUGACCGUUAUUUUCAGCUGUGUGAUACACUUUCAAAGAGUCGGAUUGUUUGGGAAUGCAGUCCAAAAUGGGUGGUAAAUUUCAUCUAAAGUUAAAUAUUGGCGAGAGACCGAUAGCGAACAAGUACCGUGAGGGAAAGAUGAAAAGAACUUUGAAAAGAGAGUUAAACAGUACGUGAAAUUGUCAAAAGGGAAGCGUUUGACACCAGUGUUGUUUUUCCGAAAAUCAAUUACGAAUGGCUUGAUUUUGUGUUGUAUUGACCUUAUCAGCUUUCUUCACUUUUUUCGAGUCUUUCUUAAUGCACUUUUUGGUUAACAAGUCAACAUCAAUUUCUUUUGUUGUAAAAGAGUAUUCGGAAGGUGGCUUUCUUUUCGGAGAAAGUGUUUAUAGCCCUAUACUUCUACAAUCGGAGAGAUUGAGGUCUGCAGCGUAGAUCCUUCGGGGUUAGAUACACUUGUGCUAAGUUGUAGCUUUUCAUAGACAACUUGUUGACUAUGUUUAGUCAUGCGGCUUACUCGCUUGUGCUAUUUUACCUACGCUUAGGAUGUUGACUGAUAUGUAGUCGUA
rnacentral:rRNA from 1 species